rfam:Fibulorhizoctonia sp. CBS 109695 unplaced genomic scaffold FIBSPscaffold_16, whole genome shotgun sequence.
GGCGCGAUGGCCGAGUGGUCUAAGGCGCUGGAAUUAGGCUUCAUAAACCAUCCAGUCUUAACGGGCGCGGGUUCGAAUCCCGUUCGCGUCA